rnacentral:rRNA from 1 species
GACAGAGGUGCCAAGCGUUAGGCGGAAUCACUGGGCUUAAAGCGUGUGUAGGCGGAUCGUUAAGUGCCUUGUGAAAUCCCCCGGCUCAACCGGGGAAAGGCUGGGCAUACUGGCGGUCUUGAGCCAUUCAGGGGCGACUGGAACGAAUGGUGGAGCGGUGAAAUGCGUAGAUAUCAUUCGGAACGCCAACGGUGAAAACAGGUCGCUGGGGAUGUGCUGACGCUGAGACACGAAAGCCAGGGGAG